GGGGGAAAUCCUGUACGCUGUAUG
rnacentral:miRNA from 1 species